UACGAAGGGGGCUAGCGUUGCUCGGAAUCACUGGGCGUAAAGGGCGCGUAGGCGGCCGGCCAAGUCGGGUGUGAAAUCCCUCGGCUCAACCGAGGAACUGCACUCGAUACUGGCUGGCUCGAGUCCGGGAGGGGAUGGUGGAAUUCCCAGUGUAGCGGUGAAAUGCGUAGAUAUUGGGAAGAACACCGGUGGCGAAGGCGGCCAUCUGGACCGGAACUGACGCUGAGGCGCGAAAGCCAGGGGAGCGAAUGGG
rnacentral:rRNA from 1 species